GAUGAACGCUGGCGGCGUGCCUAAUACAUGCAAGUCGAGCGAACGGACGAGAAGCUUGCUUCUCUGAUGUUAGCGGCGGACGGGUGAGUAACACAUGGAUAACCUACCUAUAAGACUGGGAUAACUUCGGGAAACCGGAGCUAAUACCGGAUGAUAUUUUGAACCGCAUGGUUCAAAAGUGAAAGACGGUCUUGCUGUCACUUAUAGAUGGAUCCGCGCUGCAUUAGCUAGUUGGUAAGGUAACGGCUUACCAAGGCAACGAUGCAUAGCCGACCUGAGAGGGUGAUCGGCCACACUGGAACUGAGACACGGUCCAGACUCCUACGGGAGGCAGCAGUAGGGAAUCUUCCGCAAUAGGCGAAAGCCUGACGGAGCAACGCCGCGUGAGUGAUGAAGGUCUUCGGAUCGUAAAACUCUGUUAUUAGGGAAGAACAUAUGUGUAAGUAACUGUGCACAUCUUGACGGUACCUAAUCAGAAAGCCACGGCUAACUACGUGCCAGCAGCCGCGGUAAUACGUAGGUGGCAAGCGUUAUCCGGAAUUAUUGGGCGUAAAGCGCGCGUAGGCGGUUUUUUAAGUCUGAUGUGAAAGCCCACGGCUCAACCGUGGAGGGUCAUUGGAAACUGGAAAACUUGAGUGCAGAAGAGGAAAGUGGAAUUCCAUGUGUAGCGGUGAAAUGCGCAGAGAUAUGGAGGAGCACCAGUGGCGAAGGCGACUUUCUGGUCUGUAACUGACGCUGAUGUGCGAAAGCGUGGGGAUCAAACAGGAUUAGAUACCCUGGUAGUCCACGCCGUAAACGAUGAGUGCUAAGUGUUAGGGGGUUUCCGCCCCUUAGUGCUGCAGCUAACGCAUUAAGCACUCCGCCUGGGGAGUACGACCGCAAGGUUGAAACUCAAAGGAAUUGACGGGGACCCGCACAAGCGGUGGAGCAUGUGGUUUAAUUCGAAGCAACGCGAAGAACCUUACCAAAUCUUGACAUCCUUUGACAACUCUAGAGAUAGAGCCUUCCCCUUCGGGGGACAAAGUGACAGGUGGUGCAUGGUUGUCGUCAGCUCGUGUCGUGAGAUGUUGGGUUAAGUCCCGCAACGAGCGCAACCCUUAAGCUUAGUUGCCAUCAUUAAGUUGGGCACUCUAAGUUGACUGCCGGUGACAAACCGGAGGAAGGUGGGGAUGACGUCAAAUCAUCAUGCCCCUUAUGAUUUGGGCUACACACGUGCUACAAUGGACAAUACAAAGGGCAGCGAAACCGCGAGGCCAAGCAAAUCCCAUAAAGUUGUUCUCAGUUCGGAUUGUAGUCUGCAACUCGACUACAUGAAGCUGGAAUCGCUAGUAAUCGUAGAUCAGCAUGCUACGGUGAAUACGUUCCCGGGUCU
rnacentral:rRNA from 1 species